AAGACGCUAUUUUAUCCGUCAAUCUUUCUUAAACCGCAGGGGAUGGGAAAGAUAUACAUCGCAACAAAACCCAAAAUAUCCGCGCGCACGUCCCUCAGCAGAGCUUCCUCUUUUGCGCGCGGGUUUUUUUUUUCCAGGCCCUUCCUCUUCCAGCCGCGCGGGAUUUUCUUCACACCCUUUCUCCUCCGUCUUGCCUCCCCAAAUGCCGAUGAGCAUCACGGGCGUGCCGUCUCUGCGAUCCAUCUGACGGCCAGGAAGCCUCCGUCGUCUUUCCCCUAGGGCAGUGGGUGCCCAAGAUUGCCGUGGACGCAUACGUCGCUCCCAACGUCGUCGUCGCCGGCCAGAUCACCGUCUACAACGGCGCCUCCAUCUGGAACGAAUCCGUCCUCCGCGGCGACUUCAAGAAGAUCACCGUCGGGUUCUGCUCCAACAUCCAGGAGCGCUGCGUCCUCCACGCUGCCUGGUUCUCCCCCACAGGGGUUCAUCUGACCCGAGAACAUGAGCGUAGUAGGAAAUUUAUCUAUUACCCUGUGGAAAAUGGAAGGAAAUGAGGUUAUCUUAAAGAUUUCAAAAUGGGCACAAAAAAUUGAGGUGGCACAUGGAAUACUUAUAAGUAAAAAUCCAUCUAAAAUGGUGGGUAAUACUAUUCUAGGGACCGAAUUUUGAGAGAUUUAUAUUGAUUUUUGUAAGGGUGCAAAAUGAGCCGUUGAUCCGAACUGAUGGACUGUAUCAAAUUAUUAGUGAUGCUAUUGGGUCAAUAAUUGCAUGGUCCUCUACUUUUAUUGAACUUGCCAAUAAAUGAUGUGAAGCUUCUAAUCAUUAAUGUAUAUAGUCAUUUUUUUUUGUCUAUUUGGGAUAAUAGUUUUUUUUUAAUCAAAAUGUUAAAAGAUAUAUCUACAAUUUUGUUUAAAAAAAUUAUACUUUCAUCACUGUUAGUUUUGUUACAUGAAAAGCUCUUCUUAUUGUGAACUUUUAUUU